UACGUAGGGGGCGAGCGUUGUCCGGAGUUACUGGGCGUAAAGGGCAUGCAGGCGGUCGGACGCGUUUUGUGUGACAGCGGGUGGCUCAACUACCCGAGCAUGCGAAAGACGGUUGGACUUGAGGACUCGAGAGGGACACGGAAUUCCGGGUGGAGUGGUGAAAUGCGUAGAGAUCCGGAGGAACACCGAAGGCGAAGGCAGUGUCCUGGCGAGUGACUGACGCUGAGGUGCGAAAGCCAGGGGAGCGAACGGG
rnacentral:rRNA from 1 species